rnacentral:lncRNA from 1 species
UUUUUUUUUUUUUUUUUUUGAGACAAGUUCUCUUUCUGUAGCUCUGGAUGUUCUGAAAUUCGAUGUGUAGACCAGGCUGGCUCAGACUCACACAGAUCCACUCACUGGCUCUGCCCCCUGGUUUCUGGGAUUAAAGGUGUGUGCCACCACACCUGGCGCCACGUUGGUACAGUGGCUAGAUUAAGAUUGUUUGCAAAGUAAAUCCUGCUCUUUUAGUACUGAAACCACAGAAACAAACCGAAGGGGAUGGAAAAAGGUCCCUGCAGUCAUGGAUGAAACCCUUUUAAGAGGAAAGGCUGGGGCUGCAGAGGUGACUGGGCAGUCGGUGCUGACAGCCUUCUGUAACUUCUCUUCCAGGGAGCCAGUGUCUUCCUCUGGACUGCAGGGACACCAGGCUUGCAUGUGGUGCACAUACAAUCGUGAAACCAACAUGCAUAUAGAAUAAAUACAUCUUUUUAAACAGUAAAGGAAAAGCAUGGCUAGAGAAGAUGCUUGGUUGGGUAGGGUGUGCUUCCGCUGUGUAGGAAGGGCUCAGAACUACGAGUGCCCCUGCUGCCGGGAAACGGGUUUCCCCUCGUUAUCUUUCUACUUUUCCAAUAUAGUUUAGAAAAAAGAAGAAAUAAGGGGGAAAAAAACAACCCAGCCUUGUUUGGAUUUUACAGUGUGGUCUCUGGGCUCUUGUUUGUGGCAAUCCUGUGACUAGAGGCAGCCCUUAGCAGCUCACAGCUGACGUCAACAACCCAGCUCUGGGAAGCUUUGUAGCUAUCAGACUGUGCAGGCCUCAGUUUCAUAAACAUUGAGGUUAUGUUUGGGGUUAGGAUGGAAGGCCACUUCCUUUGCCAUGUGCAGUGAAGGUGUAGGACAUUUGUCCCACAUACCCUAAGCCCCAGCAUUGCUGUGACUAGGGGCUACGCUCGCAGGCUGGAUCACUCCCUCCCUGGAUUGUUUGACGGAUCUCGAGCUUGGUCUGUUUUUAUCUUGUUUUGUGAGGUCUCUUUAGGUAAUAAAGAGAUGCCUUUGAAAAACUGUUUCCUUAUAACACAGUUGCCUUUAACCGCCCUGGCCCCAAACCAUUUGAGCACAUUGAGUCAUUUGCAUACGUUCAUAUGUGCCCCGCCUCUGAUCUUGACUUUGGGCUUUAUUUUACUUUUCUUGAAGUUGCUUUCGAAUGAAUUUGUUUUCUGAUUCAUGUUGUGUUUUUCAUGGGUGAACUCCCUUGGAAUUUUUUUCUGUUUUUUUUUUUCUUUAAAGCCACAUAAAUUUUUCUGCAUGCUUGUGGUCCAUCUGGUCUCUUGUUCACUGCGCACCGACACACAUUACUGCAGAACUGUGUGUGCCACCCACUGGAAUGGGGUCACGUUAGUCCUUACUAUUAGCCCUGCUAAACCACCACUUGGUUGCAUGCAGGUGAGAGCUAGGUGGGUUACACAGCGUUCUUCAGCUCUGCGGUGUCAUUAGGAAGCUUAGGGUUGACAGUCGGGAGGGAGUCAUGGUCCAGGGGUGGCUUUUUUUUUUUAAAUUAAUGCUGAGGGUAUUGGCUGCUUCAGAUGACUGAAGCCUGCAGCACUCCACCAACAUAGGAGCCUUAUGUGCGCCUGGUGAGGCUCCUGCCGGCUGGCUAGAUUGCUUUGCCUGGAGCAACAACAGCUCAUACCCAUUACCUUGAUGCUACAGGGCCGCUGUGAAGCAGACUGGAGAGCAGGUGGUGCAGGAAGGAGGCCCAGCCUGGUGCAGGGAGGGUGGAAGCCAUUGAGGCAGCUGUUGAGUUUGUUGGUACUUGACUGGCCAGCAUUUGUAGUGCUUUAAACAGCUCACGCAUAGCCAGAGAGGACCCAGUGCAAAGUGACAGGUUACAGGAUUGGCUCUAAAGGGAAGGGACAGGGAUUCGACACCGCCCAGCAGCCUGACAGGAACUUUGUGAACAGUUGCCUUACCGCUGAGCCACGCCUUCAGCCCCAUGUUGUAUUUGUUGCUGUACCUUCAUGUCUCACAGGAGAGUGCAACCAGACUAUGUUUUAAACCAUUUUGCAGUUUUUGUUAGCAUUAAUGGUAUUAAAUACUGUUAGACUUUUUAAUGUUCAUGUCUGAUUGAUUAUCUUCAUAAACUAUCAGCAUAUUUUGUGCCCGUACCCUACCCAACCCCCCACAGGGUUUCUCUGUAGCUUUGGCUGUCCUGGAACUCACAGAGAUCCUCCUGCCUCUGCCUCCCAAGGGCUGAGAUUAAAGGUGUGAGCUACUAUACCCAGCCUAAGAAGUGACACCUUGACACAAAAAAAUCUACCUGCCUGUUUUCCCUCAGCCUGGGUUUGAACAGACCAUCUUUUUGUUUUGUUUUGUUUUGUUUUUGUUUUUCGAGACAGGGUUUUCUCUGUAUAGCCCUGGCUGUCCUAGAACUCACUCUGUAGACCAGGCUGGCCUCGAACUCAGAAAUCUGCCUGCCUCUGCCUCCCCAGUGCUGGGAUUAAAGGCGUGCACCACCAUGCCCGUCUUGUUUUGUUUUGUUUUGUUUUGCAGACCAUCUUUUGAGGGGCUUAGGAGAAAGAGUUAACCCAGAGUCAACUGGAGUCGGAGCCACUGCCCAGCCUCCCUCUGUUUCCUUUUUCUUUUUUAAAAAAUGAGACAGUGUCUAAUGUGGCCCAGGCUGGCCUUGAACUUUCCAUCUGUGUCUAAUGUGGCCCAGGCUGGCCUUGAACUUUCCAUCUGUGUCUGUGCUGGGAUCACAGGUGUGUGCCCCGACACCUAGUUUUCUUCUCUGUGGAAGCCCAGAGUGGCCUCAAGCGUGACAUCUGUCUCUCAGAUGCUGGCUGCGAUUACCGGCUUGGGCCACCACACCUGGCUUCAGUUUGUUUGACUUUUUUUAAAAAGUUGGUUUGAGAGUAAAAAUUACACCUUAAAAUAAUUAGCUUAAUAUUUUGUUGUAUUUGAAUGGUCAUUUCUGAUAGCCAUUGUCCCUAAAUAGUAAUUUCUAUUCUGUACUAUUGAUUUUUCUUAUAUUGGGUCACAAGGCCCAAGAUGGCUUUGAACUUGGUAUGCAGCUGAGGAAGACCUUGAGUUUUCCAUCUUCCUACUUACACCUUUUUUUCUUUUUCCUUUCUAAGACAAAGUCUCAUUGUAUAGACCUGACUGGCCUAGAACUGACCCAUCUCUGCCUUCCGAGUGCUAGGAUUAAGGUGUACACCACUACACCCGACAGUUUACACUCUGUCUUUAAAGAUUCUGUGUGCUCCAUUUGCAGAUGUUAGAGCUGACAACUUAGGGGUGGGUCCUGACCUCGGGAUGCUGGCGGCUGUGGUUCCCUGGGCCAGGCAUCCCCCGCUCCAGUGUGGGGUGCAUUGAGAGAGUGAACAUGAACUUCACACGGGACUGCCCUGUGUGUACCUGGGCUUGAAUCCUGAAGGGUAUUUGUACACGGUCCUAUGUUGAGCGAGUCAACAUCUCUGUUCCCUUCUUUGUGGAAACGUUGUGCUAUUGAAAAGGUUUACAGAGCCAGCUUGGUGGUGCAUGCGGCAGUCCUGGCACUUAGGAAGCUGAGGCAGGAGGAUCCUAAAUCCAAAGCCACCUUAUCUCAAGUCACCGCAACAACAAAAGGCUGGGGCUUUAGUGGGAGAGCACAAGGCCCCGGAGUCAGGCCCCAGAAGAAGCAAAUAGUAAACUAAAAGGAAAAAAAAUCCU